AAAGGACAGAACAAUAUUUUCUGUGAAAGCUUUUUAUUACAGAUCCUACCAAUGCACCCACCAAUCUUACACUUGUGUUACCAAACAAGUUACUUAAUGGAAUAUUGUUAAGACAGAAGUUAGUAGUUCGAUACAAACCCCCACAAGUCAAGUCACCUUUAUUUAUAUAGCUCUUUAAACAGAACAGAUUGUGUCAAAGCAAAUGAACAACAUUAAUUAGGAAAACAGUGUGUCAAUAAUAUAAAUGACAGUUAAAGGCAGUUAAUCACUGAAUUCAGUGAUGUCAUCAUGCAGCUCAGUUCAGUUUAAAUAGUAUCUGUGCAAUCAUUUGCAAUCAAGUCAACGAUAUCACUGUAAAUGAAGUAUCCCCAACUAAACAAGCCAGAGGCGACAGCAGAAAGGAACCAAAACUCCAUCGGUUACAGAAUGGAGAAAAAACCUUGGGAGAAACCAAGCUCAAGGUCUUUACAGGGGAUCUGUAUCUGGGGCUCAUCUAGUUGUCCUGGUCCUUUCUAGGUGCUGAUCCACCAUCUGGGCUGGAUACAUACUGGAUCCGGGUGACUGCAGUGACCCUCUGACUUGGAUACAGACUGGAUCUGGUGGCUACGGUGACCUCGGAAUAAGAGAGAAACAGACUAAUAUUAGCGUAGAUGCCAUUCUUCUAACGAUGUAGCAAGUACAUCGGGUGUUAUGGGAAGUGUUCCCAGUUCCGGUUUACCUAAUUAAUGCAGCCUAAAAAUCCUAUAAUGGGUUUGGAUAUUAAAAAUGUGUCAGUGUGUUAUGUGUAAACCAGGUUAAAGAGAUGGGUCUUUAAUCUAGAUUUAAACAAUGUUAGGUAGGUUAUUCUAGAGUUUAGGCGCUAAAUAGGAAAAGGAUCUGCCGCCCGCAGUUGAUUUUUAUAUUCUAGGUAUUAUCAAAUUGCCAGAGUUUUGAGAUCGCAGCGGACAUGGAGAAUUAUAAUGUAUCAAGAGCUUGUUCAAAUACUGAGGUGCUAAACCAUUCAGGGCUUUAUAAGUAAUAAGCAAGAUUUUAAAAACUAUACGAUGUUUAAUAGGUAGCCAGUGCAGUGUUGACAGAACCGGGCUAAUAUGAUCAUACUUCCUGGUUCUGCUAGAUGCUAGUUUAAUGAUGCUAUGGCAUGAAAUUUAUGUAAGCCAAGAUUUUAACAACAAGCUUUAAAAGUAUUAUGUAUAGGGUAACAUUUUGUUAUACCGGGGCAUAGCCAUCAUUUCAGAAGAGACAGAAAUGUCAAAUACAAUAAUUUUAUGUGGGCCUAUGUAUGUAUGUAUUAUUUAUUAUUUAUUUAUUAUUUAUUUUUAUUUUUUUACAAGGAAUUAAUUUCUUAUGUCUUACUUUGAAUUUGUUAUAAGAAAUCAAAUACACUUCUGGACAAUAAUCAAUUAUUUCUUAAUCUAUAUUUUUUUCCUAAUGCCAAUUUUAUGAUUAUUUUAUACACUACAAACAAUUAUUUAAAUUUUCUGCACACAAUUAGGUAGAAAAUAUACCUUAUAGUUUCUGUAAUGUAAUAAAUUAUAUAUGUCAAUUGGAACUGCA
ensembl:lncRNA